rnacentral:rRNA from 1 species
AGAGCGAACGCUGGCGGCAUGCUUAACACAUGCAAGUCUCACGGGCAGCAAUGUCAGUGGCGGACGGGUGAGUAACGCGUAGGUAUCUAUCCUUGGGUGGGGGAUAACGUUGGGAAACUGACGCUAAUACCGCAUGACACCUGUGGGUCAAAGGCGCGAGUCGCCUGGGGAGGAGCCUGCGUACGAUUAGCUUGUUGGUGGGGUAAAGGCCUACCAAGGCUACGAUCGUUAGCUGGUCUGAGAGGAUGAUCAGCCACACUGGGACUGAGACACGGCCCAGACUCCUACGGGAGGCAGCAGUGGGGAAUAUUGGACAAUGGGCGAAAGCCUGAUCCAGCAAUGCCGCGUGUGUGAAGAAGGUCUUCGGAUUGUAAAGCACUUUCGGCGGGGACGAUGAUGACGGUACCCGCAGAAGAGCCCGGCUAACUCGCGCAGCAGCCGC